rnacentral:rRNA from 1 species
AUUGAACGCUGGCGGCAGGCCUAACACAUGCAAGUCGAACGAGUGGCGGACGGGUGAGUAAUGUCUGGUAAACUGCCUGAUGGAGGGGGAUAACUACUGGAAACGGUAGCUAAUACCGCCUACCAUCGGAUUUGCCCAGCUGGGAUUAGCUAGUAGGUGGGGUAAAGGCUCACCUGGGCGACGAUCCCUAGCUGGUCUGAGAGGAUGAACAGCAACAUUGGAACUGAGAAACGGUCCAGACUCCAACGGGAGGCAGCAGUGGGAAAUAUUGCACAAGGGGCGCAAGCCUGAGGCAGCCAGGCCGCGUGGAUGAAGAAGGCCUUCGGGUUGUAAAGUACUUUCAGCGGGGAGGCGUUACCCGAAGAAGAAGCACCGGCUAACUCCGUGCCAGCAGCCGCGGUAAUUC